rnacentral:lncRNA from 1 species
GUUAUUCUUCAAACUCAAUAAAAGUAGAGAAAUUUUAUUAUUGCUUAUAGAACCCCAAAAAAAAAAACAUUAUAAUUAAGGAAGAUUGGUAUCUAAGGGAGAGAGUUGGGUGUAGAUGUAAUCCUCAUGCAUAAAGGCACUUUCUUGUGCCCCAUUUUUUCCUUCCUUGCACUCAACCCUCUCCUUUCCACACUCAACAACUUUAUCUCUUUCCUGCAUUAUUCAUUUCCAUUAUUAGAGCUCAUCAAAAAGGUAAAAUCGCAAGCAAAAAGUUCUAUAUCUUUGUUUUAAAAAAUAAAAAUCACCAUAAUUUUUUUUUCUUUUUUUUUAAAAAAAAAAAACUAAUGAAAGUUUUUUGCAUAUAGUUCGAAUUUUUAGGAGUACCAAUGUCUAUAGGAAAACUUACCAUUUUGAUAGAAUUAUCCCCAGCAUCAACCAGCAACGUAUUGGUAUCUUCUUUGGCUUGAGUAAUGAAAACGAAGUAGAAAAAUAAAACAAGAGACAGAAAGAGAGAGAAGCUUGAAAUUCUCAUUGUGAACUAAAUUUGAGAAGAUGAGAUGACCAAGCAAGAAAUUGAAACUACAAUAUUAUUGAAGAAAUGCAAGUGAUGGAUUUGUAGUUUUAAAAUUUAAAUACAAGGAUGCUCAUUUGACUUGUCUGCUGAUACCUUGGCAGUAAGCUCGAGUCUCAAGAGCAUGGGUUGGCUGUUUUGAUUUCUUCCUAGUUAAUAAUUAUUUUUGCAUAGAAAUAGAGAAUAAAAAGAAAGAGGGGGGACAAGGGUCUUGCUAUUUAAUUUGUUUGUGUCGUUACAGUAUUGUGGUGUUAUUCCAAAUUUUUUUACUUGAUUUUUACCAUCAAUUAUUAGGGAAUAUU